CUAUGGCCAUACCACCCUGAAUGUGCCCAAUCUCGUCUGAUCUGGGAAGCUAAGCAGGGUCGGGCCUGGUUAGUACUUGGAUGGGAGAAAUACAUUUGCUGAAUAGU
rnacentral:rRNA from 1 species